rnacentral:piRNA from 1 species
UCUGAUUGCACAACUUUAAUU